GAUGAACGCUGGCGGUAUGCUUAACACAUGCAAGUCGAUUCAAUUUACCUUCGGGUAAUGAGGAUGGCGGACGGGUGAGUAACGCGUAAGGAACUUGCCUCUUGGUCUGGGACAACUGUUGGAAACGACAGCUAAUACCGGAUAUUAUGAGAUUCUCGCAUGGGAAACUUAUGAAAGCUAUAUGCGCCAAGAGAGAGCCUUGCGUUCCAUUAGCUAGUUGGUGGGGUAACGGCCCACCAAGGCGACGAUGGAUAGCCGGCCUGAGAGGGUGAACGGCCACAAGGGGACUGAGACACGGCCCUUACUCCUACGGGAGGCAGCAGUGGGGAAUAUUGGACAAUGGGCCACAAGCCUAAUCCAGCAAUUCUGUGUGCACGAUGAAGGUCUUCGGAUUGUAAAGUGCUUUCAGUUGGGAAGAAGAAAGUGACGGUACCAACAGAAGAAGCGACGGCUAAAUACGUGCCAGCAGCCGCAGUAAAAC
rnacentral:rRNA from 1 species